rnacentral:rRNA from 1 species
AUUGAACGCUGGCGGCAGGCUUAACACAUGCAAGUCGAGCGGGGGAAGGUAGCUUGCUACCGGACCUAGCGGCGGACGGGUGAGUAAUGCUUAGGAAUCUGCCUAUUAGUGGGGGACAACACCUCGAAAGGGAUGCUAAUACCGCAUACGUCCUACGGAAGAAAGCAGGGGAUCUUCGGACCUUGCGCUAAUAGAUGAACCUAAGUCGGAUUAGCUAGUUGGUGGGGUAAAGGCCUACCAAGGCGACGAUCUGUAGCGGGUCUGAGAGGAUGAUCCGCCACACUGGGACGGAGACACGGCCCAGACUCCUACGGGAGGCAGCAGUGGGGAAUAUUGGACAAUGGGGGGAACCCUGAUCCAGCCAUGCCGCGUGUGUGAAGAAGGCCUUAUGGUUGUAAAGCACUUUAAGCGAGGAGGAGGCUACUUUAGUUAAUACCUAGAGAUAGUGGACGUUACUCGCAGAAUAAGCACCGGCUAACUCUGUGCCAGCAGCCGCCGUAA